AAUAUAAGGAAUGCAUUCCAAGUUUUUAAUAUUACCAAGGGCCAAAAACAACUCUACUGUACCCACCACCUGUUUGUCACCUUAACCUUUUUAGGUGGAAUAGAUUAGAAAACCGAAGAGCCACACUACACUUAUUUCAGCCAAGGACUGAAACUGGAGCCUGCCACAAGCAUCUUCUAGAACAGCUCCAACAGAAGGAUCCAGGAGAUGGGCCACCAGCAAGUCAUAGUGGAGUCCAAACAAGUGUGAAGUGAGAGCGAGUCUUCAGCAUGGGAAUGGCCGAGUGGGUCGUGGUGACCAGCUGCCUUCCUCUGACUGUUAAGUACAGCAGUCUCAACAGUAACAAUGACCAGGCCUUCCCUUUAUUUAGUUCCACCUCGGGGCAUUGGCGCAUUAAGAAUGUCCCUCUAAAGGCAUAUGUAAGAUAAAGCACACUUCGCACUUUAACCAGUGACUAAGGGAGAUCAAAAGCAGGGGACAAUACCCACCCGGAAUUUGCGACCUCGCGAAAACGCUCUCACCAAUCCCGCAGUUUGUCAUCUGGUCACCUGUUUGGAGAAUGAGAAAUGUCAGAAUACAGAAGGGAAGUGCUUACUAACCACACCAGAGACAGGGCCUUGCUUUGUUGUCAAGCUGGUUUUGAGAACUUCUGGCUUCAAGCAAUCCUCCCACCCAGACCUCCCAAAGUGCUGGGAUUACAGGUGUAAAGCACAGAGCACGGCCUAAAAUAGUAUCUUAAUAUUAUUAGAAACACUUAUUAAAUAAAUAUGCAUUAUUCUGUGUGAUUUCUUAUCUGUAGUUCCAUGUUAUCGAAUGAUCCAUUAAUUUCUUUUACCCAAUUAUCAAAUGGAAUGUGAUACAUUUGUAUCAAUUAGUUGCAUAUUUUAGAAAGCAAGCUUUUUAAAGAGCAUCAGAUACAUCGAG
rnacentral:lncRNA from 10 species